rnacentral:tRNA from 2 species
GAUUAAAUGGCUGAAAUUUAGGCAAUAGAUUGUAAAUCUAUUUAUGAGAGUUAUUCUCUUUAAUCA